rnacentral:rRNA from 1 species
AACGAACGCUGGCGGCAUGCCUAACACAUGCAAGUCGAACGAAGGCUUCGGCCUUAGUGGCGCACGGGUGAGUAACGCGUGGGAACCUGCCUGGCAGUGGGGAAUAACCUUGGGAAACUGGGGCUAAUACCGCAUACGCCCUUUUGGGGAAAGAUUUAUCGCUGUCAGAUGGGCCCGCGUCGGAUUAGGUAGUUGGUGAGGUAACGGCUCACCAAGCCGACGAUCCGUAGCUGGUCUGAGAGGAUGACCAGCCACACUGGGACUGAGACACGGCCCAGACUCCUACGGGAGGCAGCAGUGGGGAAUAUUGGACAAUGGGGGAAACCCUGAUCCAGCAAUGCCGCGUGAGUGAUGAAGGCCUUCGGGUUGUAAAGCUCUUUCAGGUGGGACGAUGAUGACGGUACCACCAGAAGAAGCCCCGGCUAACUUCGUGCCAGCAGCCGCAGUAA